rnacentral:piRNA from 1 species
UUGAUCUUCACUAUCAGGGUUUGAAGGCCUU